AAAAAGAACUCGUAUUGUUUUUCUCUAUGUGUAGUAUCAACCCCAAAUUGAUGUGCUGCAUUGCUCUUUCUUUGAGCUUCCAUGGAAACUCGUCCAUGAUUCAAUUUAUUCAAACACGUAAUUUCAGAUUAUGGGGAAUCAUCAGACUCAAAGAUCGUUGCAGAACUCCGAUAUUGGCGGUAUGGUCUUGGAUUGACAAACUGAAAUUUUUGUAUUGAAAUUAAAUUUGGUGCGAGCAUGGAGCUAUAGUAUGGUCUUGACCAAUCUAUAGGGGAAACUAUAAUGCAAGCUGCACGAGAAAAGGGGUAUGGUCUUGACUCUUGACCAACUCGUUAGUGUGAUGAGCCGUGGUCAUGAUCCUUGUUAUCUGUAAAUAAAUCAAAUCAUGAUUGUUAGUAUCUGUACAAGAAAACUGGGUAUUUGAAAAUCCGUUGCUUCUUAAUGUGAUUGAAAUCAACACUUGGUUAUUCUUA